GGGGACGUAGCUCAGUUGGGAGAGCGCGUGAAUGGCAUUCAUGAGGUCGUGGGUUCGAAUCCCAUCGUCUCCACCA
rnacentral:tRNA from 2 species